rnacentral:misc_RNA from 1 species
AACUGAUACUACCUGCGGGAACCUGCGGAAGGAUCAUUACCGAGUUAUCCAACUCCCAACCCCUGUGAAUCAUACCUUUAAUUGUUGCUUCGGCGGGACUUCGCGCCCGCCGGGGACCCAAACCUUCUGAAUUUUUUAAUAAGUAUCUUCUGAGUGGUUAAAAAAAAUGAAUCAAAACUUUUAACAAUGGAUCUCU